rnacentral:rRNA from 1 species
GACGAACGCUGGCGGCGUGCUUAACACAUGCAAGUCGAACGGAAAGGCUCCAGCUUGCUGGAGUACUCGAGUGGCGAACGGGUGAGUAACACGUGGGUAAUCUGCCCUGCACUCUGGGAUAAGCCUGGGAAACUGGGUCUAAUACUGGAUAUGACCUUUCUCCUUAUGAGGUUUGGUGGAAAGUUUUUCGGUGUAGGAUGAGCCCGCGGCCUAUCAGCUUGUUGGUGGGGUGAUGGCCUACCAAGGCGACGACGGGUAGCCGGCCUGAGAGGGUGAUCGGCCACAUUGGGACUGAGAUACGGCCCAGACUCCUACGGGAGGCAGCAGUGGGGAAUAUUGCACAAUGGGCGGAAGCCUGAUGCAGCGACGCCGCGUGAGGGAUGACGGCCUUCGGGUUGUAAACCUCUUUCAGCAGGGACGAAGCGUAAGUGACGGUACCUGCAGAAGAAGCACCGGCUAACUAUGUG